AAAUUCUAUAAAAGAUAAUCUUAGGUAAACACUCAUGGAAAUAGCAUGUCAUAAAUCAAUAUAGUGUUCAGUGACCGGAAAUUUAAUUACACGUGUAUUGUCAGAUUAACUCUUCAAUCCAUUUUUAAAAAUCCCGGAGGUCAUGUUUUGACAUAUGUGUAUUAGUUCGAGAUAAAAAAAUGAAUUUUGAAUGCUUUUGUUAACCUUGGGACCGUAAAUUUAGUUCGACUCAACCGA
rnacentral:lncRNA from 1 species